GUUGCGAUCCCUCCAGGCGUGAUAAGCAAC
rnacentral:other from 1 species